rnacentral:rRNA from 1 species
UACGGAGGGGGGCUAGCGUUGUUCGGAAUUACUGGGCGUAAAGCGUACGUAGGCGGCUUUGUAAGUUAGAGGUGAAAGCCCAGAGCUCAACUCUGGAAUUGCCUUUAAGACUGCAUCGCUUGAAUCGUGGAGAGGUUAGUGGAAUUCCGAGUGUAGAGGUGAAAUUCGUAGAUAUUCGGAAGAACACCAGUGGCGAAGGCGACCUAACUGGACACGGUAUUGACGCUGAGGUACGAAAGCGUGGGGGAGGCAAACAGGG